rnacentral:rRNA from 1 species
AGCGAACGCUGGCGGCAGGCUUAACACAUGCAAGUCGAGCGGGCCCUUCGGGGUCAGCGGCGGACGGGUGAGUAACGCGUGGGAACGUGCCUUCUGGUCUGGAAUAACCCUGGGAAACUAGGGCUCAUACCGGAUACGCCCUUUUGGGGUAAGGUUUACUGCCGUAAGAUCGGCCCGCGUCUGAUUAGCUAGUUGGUGGGGUAACGGCCUACCAAGGCGACGAUCAGUAGCUGGUCUGUGAGGAUGAUCAGCCACACUGGGACUGAGACACGGCCCAGACUCCUACGGGAGGUAGCAGUGGGGAAUAUUGGACAAUGGGCGCAAGCCUGAUCCAGCCAUGCCGCGUGAGUGAUGAAGGCCUUAGGGUUGUAAAGCUCUUUUAUCCGGGACGAUAAUGACGGUACCGGAGGAAUAAGCCCCGGCUAACUUCGUG